CUGAAAUCAGUAAUUUAGCUGCAUGUGAGUUAAGCAGCCCCUGAUAAAUUACAAUUCUAAUUCAAAAGUUGUUUUUGAACUUGGCGUAUGUGCCAGGCAGUGUGUUAGGUAACAGCAGUGGUUCUUACCUGGUAGUGAUUUUGUCCCUCUUAGGGACUUUUAGCAACGUUUGAAGGCAGUUUGUGUUGUUUCAACAGGAGAGUGCUACUCACAUCAGUUGAAUAGAGGCCAGGGAUGCUCUCACCAUGCACAGGACAGCCCCCCAUGAUAAAGAAUCAUCUGGCCCAAAGGUCAAUAAUGCUGAAAAACUGGAAUGCAAGGAUAUGAAGAUGAAGUAAACACACAGAAUCACUUAGCAUUGACUUGUACCGAUUCACAAUAUUCAGGAACAAAUCUGAGCUUUUCUGACCUUAAAGUUCUUGGAAAAGAGACCAGACCUGCAUCAAUUACAAUAAACGAGAGCAAUCACAAAGCAUAUGUGCUCCUUCUUUUAAUUUUAGUGAUAUGAAUAAGGUGAGGAAAACUUAAUUAUAUAUUUUAUAUGUAAAAUAUAGUCCUGGGCUAUCUAGAUUUAUUACUUAAACAGACACUGAGAGAAUA
rnacentral:lncRNA from 1 species